UAUCUUGAUUUGAACUGGGUUUGUUGGCUGCUGAUCUGCUUUUUUGAAGCAGAUAUCAAAUCUAGUUAAUAAAACACUUUUCAGGAGCCAACAACAUCAGUUCUAACCAGGACU
rnacentral:pre_miRNA from 1 species